rnacentral:rRNA from 1 species
GUGGGGAAUAUUGGACAAUGGGCGAAAGCCUGAUCCAGCCAUGCCGCGUGUGUGAAGAAGGUCUUCGGAUUGUAAAGCACUUUAAGUUGGGAGGAAGGGCAGUAAGUUAAUACCUUGCUGUUUUGACGUUACCAACAGAAUAAGCACCGGCUAACUUCGUGCCAGCAGCCGCGGUAAUACGAAGGGUGCAAGCGUUAAUCGGAAUUACUGGGCGUAAAGCGCGCGUAGGUGGUUCAGCAAGUUGAAGGUGAAAUCCCCGGGCUGAACCUGGGAACUGCCUCCAAAACUACUGAGCUAGAGUACGGUAGAGGGUAGUGGAAUUUCCUGUGUAGCGGUGAAAUGCGUAGAUAUAGGAAGGAACACCAGUGGCGAAGGCGACUACCUGGACUGAUACUGACACUGAGGUGCGAAAGCGUGGGGAGCAAACAGGAUUAGAAACCCCUGUAGUCC